rnacentral:rRNA from 1 species
UACAGAGGUCUCAAGCGUUGUUCGGAUUCAUUGGGCGUAAAGGGCGCGUAGGCGGCGCGGUAAGUCGGGGUGUGAAAUCUCGGAGCUUAACUCCGAAACUGCAUUCGAUACUGCCGUGCUUGAGGACUGGAGAGGAGACUGGAAUUUACGGUGUAGCGGUGAAAUGCGUAGAUAUCGUAAGGAAGACCAGUGGCGAAGGCGGGUCUCUGGACAGUUCCUGACGCUGAGGCACGAAGGUCAGGGGAGCAAACGGG